AGAGUUUGAUCCUGGCUCAGGAUGAACGCUAGCUACAGGCUUAACACAUGCAAGUCGAGGGGAAACGACAUCGAAAGCUUGCUUUUGAUGGGCGUCGACCGGCGCACGGGUGAGUAACGCGUAUCCAACCUGCCCACCACUUGGGGAUAACCUUGCGAAAGUAAGACUAAUACCCAAUGAUAUCUCUAGAAGACAUCUGAAAGAGAUUAAAGAUUUAUCGGUGAUGGAUGGGGAUGCGUCUGAUUAGCUUGUUGGCGGGGUAACGGCCCACCAAGGCAACGAUCAGUAGGGGUUCUGAGAGGAAGGUCCCCCACAUUGGAACUGAGACACGGUCCAAACUCCUACGGGAGGCAGCAGUGAGGAAUAUUGGUCAAUGGACGAGAGUCUGAACCAGCCAAGUAGCGUGCAGGAUGACGGCCCUAUGGGUUGUAAACUGCUUUUAUAAGGGAAUAAAGUGAGUCUCGUGAGACUUUUUGCAUGUACCUUAUGAAUAAGGACCGGCUAAUUCCGUGCCAGCAGCCGCGGUAAUACGGAGGGUCCGGGCGUUAUCCGGAUUUAUUGGGUUUAAAGGGAGCGUAGGCCGGAGAUUAAGCGUGUUGUGAAAUGUAGACGCUCAACGUCUGCACUGCAGCGCGAACUGGUUUCCUUGAGUACGCACAAAGUGGGCGGAAUUCGUGGUGUAGCGGUGAAAUGCUUAGAUAUCACGAAGAACUCCGAUUGCGAAGGCAGCUCACUGGAGCGCAACUGACGCUGAAGCUCGAAAGUGCGGGUAUCGAACAGGAUUAGAUACCCUGGUAGUCCGCACGGUAAACGAUGGAUGCUCGCUGUUUGCGUCUGACGUAAGCGGCCAAGCGAAAGCGUUAAGCAUCCCACCUGGGGAGUACGCCGGCAACGGUGAAACUCAAAGGAAUUGACGG
rnacentral:rRNA from 1 species